GAUUACCUCAGUAACGGCGAGUGAAGCGGUAACAGCUCAAAUUUGAAAUCUGGGUCUUUCAGGCUCCGAGUUGUAAUUUGUAGAAGAUGCUUUGGGUGCGGUCCCGGUCUAAGUUCCUUGGAACAGGACGUCAUAGAGGGUGAGAAUCCCGUAUGUGAUCGGUGGCUUGCGCCCGUGUAAAGCUCUUUCGACGAGUCGGGUUGUUUGGGAAUGCAGCUCUAAAUGGGUGGUAAAUUUCAUCUAAAGCUAAAUAUUGGCCAGAGACCGAUAGCGCACAAGUAGAGUGAUCGAAAGAUGAAAAGCACUUUGGAAAGAGAGUUAAACAGUACGUGAAAUUGUUGAAAGGGAAGCGCUUGCAACCAGACUUGCGCGGGGUUGAUCAUCCGGGGUUCUCCCCGGUGCACUCGGCCUCGCUCAGGCCAGCAUCGGUUUCGGUGGUUGGAUAAAGGCCUUGGGAAUGUGACUUCUUUCGGGGAGUGUUAUAGCCCUCGGUGCAAUGCAGCCUACCGGGACCGAGGACCGCGCUUCGGCUAGGAUGCUGGCGUAAUGGUUGUAAGCGACCCGUCUUGAAACACGGACCAAGGAGUCUAACAUCUAUGCGAGUGUUUGGGCGUCAAACCCAUACGCGUAAUGAAAGUGAACGGAGGUGAGAACCCUUAAGGGUGCAUCAUCGACCGAUCCUGAUGUCUUCGGAUGGAUUUGAGUAAGAGCAUAGCUGUUGGGACCCGAAAGAUGGUGAACUAUGCCUGAAUAGGGUGAAGCCAGAGGAAACUCUGGUGGAGGCUCGCAGCGGUUCUGACGUGCAAAUCGAUCGUCAAAUUUGGGCA
rnacentral:rRNA from 1 species